UACGGAGGGUGCGAGCGUUGUCCGGAAUCACUGGGUGUAAAGGGCGCGUAGGCGGCGCGGGAAGUCAUCGGUGAAAGUUCAGGGCUCAACUCUGAAUCGGCCGGUGAUACUCUCGUGCUUGAGCACUGUAGAGGCAGGUGGAAUUCCGGGUGUAGCGGUGGAAUGCGUAGAGAUCCGGAAGAACACCGGUGGCGAAGGCGGCCUGCUGGGCAGUAGCUGACGCUGAUGCGCGACAGCGUGGGGAGCAAACAGG
rnacentral:rRNA from 1 species